rnacentral:rRNA from 1 species
AACGAACGCUGGCGGCAUGCCUAACACAUGCAAGUCGAACGAACCCUUCGGGGUUAGUGGCGCACGGGUGCGUAACGCGUGGGAAUCUGCCCUUUUCUUCGGAAUAACUCAGGGAAACUUGUGCUAAUACCGGAUGAUGUCUUCUGACCAAAGAUUUAUCGGCAAGGGGUGAGCCCGCGUAGGAUUAGGUAGUUGUUGGGGUAAAGGCCUCCCAGGCCGCGGAUACUUAGCUGGUAUGAGAGGAUGAUUAGCCACACUGGGACUGAGAAGCGGCCCAGAAUCCUCCGGGAGGCAGCAGUGGGGAAUAUUGGACAAUGGGCGCAAGCCUGAUCCAGCAAUGCCGCGUGAGUGAUGAAGGCCCUCGAGUAGUAAAGCUCUUUUACCAGGGAUGAUAAUGACAGUACCUGGAGAAUAAGCCCCGGCUAACUACGUG